rnacentral:rRNA from 1 species
AGUUCGAUUUAUGGCUCAGAUUGAACGCUGGCGGGAUGCUUUACAUGCAAGUCGAACGGCGGCACGGACUUCGGUCUGGUGGCGAGUGGCGAACGGUGAGUACGAAUGGAACGUGCUCUAGUAGCGGGGAUAACUACGCGAAAGCGUAGCCACACCGCAUACUGCCCUUCGGGGAGUGGGGACCUUUCGGGCCUCGCACUAUUAGAGCGGCCGAUAUCGGAUUAGCUAGUUGUGGUAACGGCUCACCAAGGCGAUCCGUAGCUGGUUUGAGAGGACGACCAGCCACACUGGACUGGAGACACGGCCCAGACUCCUACGGGAGGCAGCAGUGGGGAAUUUGGACAAUGGGGGAAACCCUGAUCCAGCCAUCCCGCGUGUGCGAUGAAGGCCAUCGGGUUGUAAAGAAUUUUUGAGGGUGAAAGAAAACGGCACGGGAUAAUACCCUCGUGCAACUGACGGUACCUGCACGGGGCACCGGCUAACUACGUGCCAGCAGCUGCGUAAUAAUGUGGGUGCAAGCGUUAAUCGGAAUUACUGGGCGUAAAGGUACAGGCGGUUCGGAAAAGAAAGAUGUGGAAAUCCCAGAGCUUAACUUUGGAACUGCAUUUUUAACUACCGAGCUAGAGUGUGUCAGAGGAGGUGGAAUUGCGUAGCAGUGAAAUGCGUAGAUAUGCGGAUAAACACCGAUGGCGAAGGCAGCCUCCUCAGAUAACACUGACGCUCAUGCACGAAAGCGUGGGGAGCAAACAGGAUUAGAUACCCUGGUAGUCCACGCUCUAAACGAUGUCAACUAGCUGCUGGGGCCUUCGCCCGGUAGCGCAAAUAACGCGUGAAGUUGACCGCCUGGGGAGUACGGUCGCAAGAUUGGGAAAUCAAAGGGAAUUGACGGGGACCCGCACAAGCGGUGGAUGAUGUGAUUACCCGAUGCAACGCGAAAAACCUUACCUACUCCUGACAUGUCUGAAUCCCGGAAGAGGGAGUGCUCGCAAGAGAACCGGAACACAGGUGCUGUAUUUAUUGUCGUCAGCUCGUGUCGUGAGAUGCUGGGUUAAGUCCCGCAACGAGCGCAACCCUUACAAUAUUGCCGCUGAAAGGGCACUCUAAUGAGAUCACGUAAACCGGAGGAAGGUGGGGAUGACGUCAAGUCCUCAUGGGCCCUUAUGGGUAGGGCUUCACACGUCAUACAAUGGUCGGGACAGAUGGUCGCCAACCCGGGCGAGGGGAGCCAAUCCUGAAACCCGAUCGUAGUCCGAUCGCAGUCUGCAACUCGACUGCGUGAAGUCGGAAUCGCUAGUAAUCGCGGAUCAGCAUGUCGCGGUGAAUAUGCCCCGGGUCUUGUACACACCGCCCGUCACACCAUGGGAGU